rnacentral:rRNA from 1 species
UACGUAGGGUGCGAGCGUUGUCCGGAAUUAUUGGGCGUAAAGAGCUCGUAGGCGGUGUGUCACGUCGUUCGUGAAAACCUGCAGCUUAACUGUGGGCGUGCGGUCGAUACGGGCAUCACUGGAGUUCGGCAGGGGAGACUGGAAUUCCUGGUGAUGAGCGGUGAAAUGCGCAGAUAUCAGGAGGAACACCGAUGGCGAAGGCAGCCCCCUGGGUUAACACUGACGCUCA